GCUGGCAGCUAGCUCUCUGCAACUCUUACUUUCGCCAACUGAAGCUAAGCAGGGCUGCACCCGGUCAUUACCUGGAUGGGAGACCACAUGGGAAGGCUAGGUUGCUGCCGGAA
rnacentral:rRNA from 1 species